GGGACACCCCCAGUGGGUUGGGUGGGUGGGAAAAGGCAGCCUCUCACGUGCAGUGGAUGUUGCAGGCGUCUCCACAGUGCACGAAGAAGAGGAUGAAUCGGAAGCAACCUCAGUGUCAUCUGGAGAGAGCCGGCCAUCCACGCCCUCUGCCAACGGGUACCCAGGUCCCAGGAGCAAGGAGCUGAGGUCGGCAGUAUCGGAGCCCCAGCAGGAGGUGGCAGCAGAGGAGGGGGAUGCCGGCCAGGGGCACUUGGGCUCCCCGCAGGCCCCCAGCCCUGAGUGGCAUGAAUGCCCUGAGUGCGGGCGCGGCUUCGGCACCUCGCGGGCCCUGAAGGUGCAUCGCAGCUACCAUGUGGGCCGGAAGCGGCCGCACACCUCCUCCUCCAAGCCGCCGCCGCCCCGGCCGGCCCCACCCUCUGCUGGAGACCCAGAGGGCCGCGAUGCCAGGCCUGUGCCCCCCUCACCCCGAGCUGGAGCCUUCCACUACAUCUGCGCUGAAUGUGGCCUGGGCUUCGCCUCGCCUGCCUCCCUGGAGGCUCACCGCUGUGAACAUGGCUGGCGCCGCAGCCCCCCGGCCCCGCCCCGCAACAAAGGGCCCCCUGCCCCGUCCCGCGAGGCCAAUGGCGCCCGGGAUGCCGAGGGAGCAGACGGACCUUACCACUGUACCGAGUGCCCGGGCGAGUUCGGCUUGGUAGCGGAUCUGCAUGAGCACUACAUGCUGCAUGCCCGAGGGGAGCUGUAGCUCCCUACCUUGCUAUGGCGCUGGGGGGUGGGGAAAGUGGGAGUGAGAUGGAUGGUGACAGUGGUGUGAUGUGUGGGUUGGACGGCAGUGGGUUCCACAGGCUGGGGGUUGGUGUGUGCGGUGGGAUUUGUGGGUUGGAUGGUGGUGGAUGGGGCUCUGUGGGAGGAUAUGAGGGAGCCAGAAUGGUGGGUGCGGUGGGAUCCACAGAUGAGAAUUGGUGGCUGCUGUAGUAGGAGAGAGGAGGGUGGAUGCAGUGGGAUCCAUGGGUUGGGUGAUGUUCGCAGUGGUUUCUGCACCUGGGGGUUGGUGGCAGUGAUGGGAUCUGGAGUCUUGAGCCCCUGAGACAGAAAUGGGGGCCGGGGACCCCCCCACACUUCCUUUAUUCUAGUUGAUUUGUAGAUUCAAGUUACUCUGACGAGGGCCCCAGACAGCCUGGCCCUAUCUUUCCCUCCUGCAGACCAGGGCCUCCCAACCUGCCCCCCAGACCUCAGAGAGGGGAGCCCCAUUGGGGGCUCAGACCUGGCAAUCUCCACUCACCCUUGGGGCCGCAAGAUUGUGGAGCUGGAGGGGCCCAGCCCCCCUCCCCCACUGCUGCCCUCGAGGUUGGGGAGAAGACCCCAUCACUCAUUUCCUGCCCCUCUGCCCCACGCAGAUUAGGCCGGCAGCCACUAAGGUGCCCCUUCCACUAGCCCCGGGUGUGUUUGGAACCCAGCGCCCCCGCCGGGGUUUUGGGUGGGGCAGAUCCCACCCGCGCAUCCUGUCUGCUCCGCCUUGGAGGUAGCAGGUUGUGGGCGGGCCAGCCAGUAGCAGAAUGAUGAAUAUUAACGAGCUCAUUGAAAUAGUGGGGGGUGGGGACCUUGUUUAAUAAUAAAAGUGAUUCUGUAUCUCUGCUGA
ensembl:lncRNA